AGAAUAUGUGCUGCUGGUGUCUGUGCCUCGUGGUGCCACGCUUUGCAGGAGGAUCGAAGAGUUCCACAAAGAACCUGAAUCAUCUAGGCACUUAUACACCAUGAGCAGUUUUGCUGGAGGAAUCAUUUGGGGAAUGGGAAAAGGAAAGUGAAGCCUGGAAGUUUCAGACUCUUGCAAAGAGAGUCUAUCAGAAGGGCUACAGAUGACAACUUUUAUCCAGCUCAUUCAAACAGAAGUCAAGACAGCCAGUAACUGCUCUGGACAGCAAUUGUAAUGGAGCCACUUCUGGCCCUCUGUGGGAGAAGAAGCUCUGACCCGAAGGAACUCUUAACAGGGAUUUUUCUGAGGCCAAUGUGAACGUAAUAACCUUUGUGGUUAGUGAGACUUUUGGAAUGCUGUGUAUCUGUACAACACACACACCAGAUUGUGUCCCAAAUUCAGCCGUGAGUAUUAUUACAGAGACAAUUUUUGGUUUAUAUUUUUCUCUUCUCCCAUUUUAAGUGCUGCAGAG